AAUUUUUAUUUGUUUCAGGGCAACCGAGAUGCUUCUAGCUGUUUUGAACACGUGUUACAUUGUUAUCUUGUUCCAGACUCUCUGUGCUUUAUCCUUGCUAGCUUCCAAUCUCUCUUAAAGAUGCUGCCAGACUCAGUGGGAUUCCAGAAUUCUAUACAUUUGUCUCAGAUAUCCAGCAGCUUCGGCAGUUCCUGGGUUGCUAAUAGGGACAGUUCACAGGUGGAUUUGUAUGCAAGUCGGAACGCAAUGCAGAACAAUAUAAGGUAGCCAUUUGUAAGUACAGGAAAUGUUUCUGUGUCAUAGAAUUAUAUGGUGCAGAAGAGGCCCUUUGGUUCAUUGAGUCUCAACUGCCAAAAGUGUACUACUACCUACACUAGUCCCACUUCCCCACACUAGUCUCAUAGUCUUGAAUGUUAUUACACUUUAAGUGCCCUUCCAAGUGCUCUUUAAAGAUUAUGAGGUUUCCCUCCUCAAUUACUCUCCCAAGCAGUGCAUUCCAGACCUUCUGGGUAAAAAUGUUUCUUCUUCAAAUUUUCUCUAAACCUCCUGCUUUUCACUUUAUUAGUGCCCCCUUGUUAUUAUCCCUUCGAUUAAGUGAAACAGCUGCUUUCCAAUCACCCUGUCCAUGCUCCUCAUAAUCUUGUCCACCUCUAUCAGGUCCCCCUUCAACUUUCUCUGCUCCAAAGAAAACAACCCAAGCUUUAUGCAGUCUCUCUUCAUCGCUGAAAUAUCCCAGUCCUGGCAAUAAUCUAGUGACAAAAUCAGAAAUUGCUGGAAAAACUCAGCAGGUGUGGACAGAAAGCAGAGUUACGUUUCAGA